rnacentral:ribozyme from 1 species
AAACCAAAAAAAAGAAAACGAAAAAAAAAAACACGAAAAAGGGGAUGAGGAAGUCAGUUCCCUUCCGUCUAUUCCUUUCAUUUCAUUUGUUCAUUCGUCUCUCUUUCUCUCUCUCUCUCUC